UCUGCCGCCGUAACUAACCCCCGUCCCGUGUGUUUAUUCAUUCACUCGCAGCAUCUCCAUCUGGGACAAGAGCGAUCCCGCUGUCUACCCUCACCCCAUAACCGAUCACUGGGUCAAGCUGAAGUAUCAGACACCAGAACUGAGCCUCACCGUGCCUCAAAGCGCUCCACCGUACUAUAGUGAGAAGUGUUCGCGUUUCCGCUACGACGGUUGUCUGAGCAGUGUGACCAUGUCCAGGAUUACCGACUAUCUGAUUGACGAGUUCACGGAGCUGAAGCCAGGUGCCUAUCCAGCCAGCAAGCCGAGGAUUCCAAUAGAAUUUGCAAACCCAUACCAAGAACUGAAUCUGAGCACCUUGAAGUACUGGAUGGACCAGGAUACCUGCGGCAACCUUUGUCCCAUUGCACGAAAGAGAGUCACCUAAACAUUGCGGUGGCGACCUGUGAGACCAACAUCCCAGCUCUUCUCAUUUGGUUGUUUCCAGAUGGUUGUCGAUGGUUUGCUCAAUUUUGGACCAACUUUUCCAUCAUCCUACUCAUUUCAAUUAAACAGCCGAACCAAAGGGGACACGUGGUCUGGCCUGUGCUCUUUUCAAUGGCAGUGGUUGAUGGUUACAGUCACCCUUCCUGAGGGACAAGUACAUUUGCUCUCUAGUCCGUAAUCAGGAGCACCCCCCAAAAGAUCAACAUUUACAUAGCAGCAUUGAGUUGUACUCGGCUCUGUGGGACUGGGUGUUCCCGGUCCUAUUGUAAAUGUGCAAUGCUAUGCUUCUAGCUGGAAGCACG